rnacentral:rRNA from 1 species
UACAGAGGGUGCAAGCGUUGUUCGGAAUUAUUGGGCGUAAAGCGCGUGUAGGCGGCUUUGCAAGUCGGGUGUGAAAGCCCUCAGCUCAACUGAGGAAGUGCGCCCGAAACUGCAGAGCUUGAGUACCGGAGAGGAUGGCGGAAUUCCCCAAGUAGAGGUGAAAUUCGUAGAUAUGGGGAGGAACACCGGUGGCGAAGGCGGCCAUCUGGACGGAUACUGACGCUGAGACGCGAAAGCGUGGGUAGCGAACAGG